UUCCCAAGAUAGGACAGAGUCUUCCAUCAGGCUAAGUGUGUGGUUGGAUAGAUUAACAAUAUUGUUGGGUUUGUUAAGGGUACCACUGCUGUAGCCCCGUGUGGCAUAUAGGAGUUUAGAUAGUUUACUGUCCUUUCUCCUCUGUAGAGAAGUAAAGUGUGCAUUGUAAAUGGCUUGGGGAGAGGGAUAGCUCAGUGGUUUGAGCAUUGGCCUGCUAAACCCA